rnacentral:rRNA from 1 species
GAUGAACGCUGACAGAAUGCUUAACACAUGCAAGUCUUUGGCGAAGCUGUGCUUGCACAGACAAGCCAAGGCGGACGGGUGAGUAACGCGUAAGGAACUUGCCCUGCAGACAGGGAUAACAGAUGGAAACGACUGAUAAGACCUGGUAUUGUCAGGCUGACGCAUGUCAAGCCUGAUGAAAGGAGACGCUGCAGGAGAGCCUUGCGUCCUAUUAGCUAGUUGGUGGGGUAAUGGCCUACCAAGGCGAUGAUAGGUAGCCGGCCUGAGAGGGUGAACGGCCACAAGGGGACUGAGAUACGGCCCUUACUCCUACGGGAGGCAGCAGUGGGGAAUAUUGGACAAUGGGGGCAACCCUGAUCCAGCAAUUCUGUGUGCACGAAGAAGGUUUUCGAAUUGUAAAGUGCUUUCAGCAGGGAAGAAGAAAGUGACGGUACCUGCAGAAGAAGCGACGGUAA